GGAAGCAACCUGCCGUAUAUCAUUGGCAAAAACACUAAAAACUUCCUUAACCUCUGAAACCUCAUUGCAAGCCAAGUCAUUUGUCCCUAGAUGGACAAGUACAUAAAAUUCCCCUUCCUGCUUUGCUUGCUUAACAAUAUUACAGAUACGUCUCCUGUCUCUGUGAGUAGUAGCUCCGGGAAGACAUCUCACAAGACCACCAUUGUCCAUCUAGAGACUUGUCCAUCUAGAGACAAAAGAGUUGGCUUGCAAUGAGGUUUCAGAGGUAAAGGUAGUUUUUGGUGUUUUUGCCAAUGACUUGCAGCAGCUUGCUUUC